GUGAAAUGGUGUAUUUAUGUGGUUUAUUUAAACAAACUGCACGUGAAGCUGGUAAUGUUUUAUACCAUCAGCACAUGGACAGAGAUUCUUAUUUAACAGCCGUAUAUUGUGAAUAGUUACAAGAAAAUCAUAAUAAUAUAAAAAAGCUGUAUCUGGGCUGUAUUGACAUAAAGAAUCUUGAUUUUUAAAGUAUCUUGAUGCUGAUGUUCGGUGCCGUCCAUAAGAAACAUGAGCCUCCAAAUGUUGUUGUAUUUUUCUGUAUUUAUUUUAGUGAAAAGACUAAAAUGUAACUUAAUAGUUUUUCUUACAGCCCAGAUGAUAAAGACAUUUUUAUUUUGUACAUCUUCAAACAAAUACGAUUGUUCCGCUCUUCAGCCUUACGUUCUUUUCUUUUGUUCUUAUUUCCCUGUUGUGUCGAGUGUGUGACUGAAUCUGUCCUUUUCCCCGUGAGUCUGUGCGAGCGCUCGUCUGUGAUUGGACGACCGUUUCCUCACCGGCCAAUCCUGCGUCUCGCCUGUAGCUCCUCCCUCUGCCUCAGACGGCUCAGCUCACCUGUGCAGAGCCGCUGUGUGUGUCCAGUGUGUCAUUUUUGUGCGUUUCUUUGGUUGUGUCACUUCUGUGGAUGUGACUCUGUUUGUUUCAUUUGUAAAAUUAGCUCUUUACAUAAAUUUAACCUUUGUUAUUCUUUCGUUUAAACCUCACGGACCUUCAGUUUGAAUAUUUUGGAUCCCUAAGGAUCUAAAAUGUAACGUAGGAUCUAAAAUGUGGCGUAGGCUCUAAAAUGUGACGUAGGAUCUAAAAUGUGGCGUAGGCUCUAAAAUGUGGCGUAGGAUUUAAAAUGUGGCGUAGGAUCCAAAAUCCGCCUCUGCGUCUCUGCAGCGUCGUGGGACUAAACUGGUCCCAUAUCCAGUUAAAUCCACUCGUCCGUGGCCCAUUAAACGUGUCAUUUACAUGUUUAUGGGCCUCCUGGGGUCCCGUCCUACCUGGAGGGCUGAUGGACAUCCUGAGCUCUGAUUGGCUGGAGGUGGCUGCAGGGCUGGUGCAGUGGGUGGGGCUUUGUGAGCGCUGGCUGUCCACACUCGACACUCGAGAUAAACUGGUGCGAAUGGUCGUGGCCUGAAGAAAAAAGGAUUUGAGCGAAAGAGAAAAGCAUCGAGACGGAAGGUCAGUGCAGGAAAGUGUUAAAUA
ensembl:lncRNA